rnacentral:lncRNA from 10 species
AGCUACUUGGGAGGCUGAAGCAGGAGAAUCACUUGAACCCGGGAGGCAGAGCUUGCAGUGAGCCGAGAUCGUGCCAUUGCCCUCCAGCCUGGUGACAGAGCGAGACUCCGUCUCAGAAAAACAAAAACAAAAACAAACUGUGGCAUCUUCAAGAAGAUGGCAUUUUAUCCAAUUCCCCUUUAAUGAGAAUGUGAGCUUAAGUUAGGCUAACUUUUGUCUCUCUGUUGUCCCUAAUCGGACUAAGAAAAGCCACGUGAUCUUGAGCAGAACAAGGAACAUUUCAGCCCCCCGGCCUGUAACAGGGAAGGAUCUUAUGAGCACCGUCUUUGGCAAACCAAAGCUCAGAGUCACCAGGGAGGAGCUUGGACACCGAGUGAGGAGAGAGACCACCACGCAGUUUCAAAGCGGCGGCGCCUGUGGCUGGGUGUGUGGAGUGGAGGGUCCUGACUGUGAAGGUGAUCUCCUCGCCCCCAGGCUCCCAGCUCUGUUACAGGCCUGGGUCUGAGGCUGCUGUGUCCAGGAGCAUCCAGGCAGAGCACCCUGGAGCCCGAAGCAGAGUCCCACUCAAUGCUUACCCAUGCUUCAGGCAUGGAGGCCACCCGCUGUGCCAGCUUGUGAUGGGGAUGGUGGGAAGUACAGCCGCCUCUCCUCCAGGCCGGAUGUUUCCUUGCUUCCUCGGGAAGUUGGGGCCAAGGGAGCCGUGCACCCUCUGCUUUUGUACAGUUCUCCAGAAACGACAGAGGCGUCCCACUUCUUUUACAGCCUGUAUUUAUUUCUCAUGAAGUUAAAAAGAAAGCAAACUGUUGUGCUGCCUCCUGGUCUCUGAGGUCAGGGUGGAUGCUCAGUCCUGUGAUCCUAUGUACUGAAUGAUCUCCUUCUUCAGAUGAGAAAAUGAAGUGACAGCCACAGGCAUGACAGCCCUCAUCAAGAUGCCACAUGGCGAGGCUCUGCAGCCCAUCUGCUCAAACCUGCCCACACCGCACCUUGCUCCCGGGAGCCCUAAACCCCUCGCCGAGUCUCAGGCUGAGCAGGGGUCUCAGAUCUGGCUGCCCAUUAGAAACCUGGUAGGCUCUCACCCAAUGCAAAGGAUGCUGUGAUCCCCUCAGCAGGUCCUGAGAGAGGUGAGUGAUUUCUUUUUGUUAAGCUGGCCAGGUGAUUUCACUGUGAGUCCAAGGUGGAGAGCUGGGGUCUAAGUCACGCAAGCUCAGCAGGACCAGUAUCUCCCCACGGGGGCAGACAUUGGUUCAUGGGGAAUAAAAUGUCUUAAUCUUCAUAUACCUCAAUUACAGGUAAGCAUGCAAUACCCAGACAGAGAGCUUCCUAGAUGAGGGGCAAUUAGGAAAUAAUAACCUAAAACCCUCUCUAGGUAGACAAUAAUGAAAAACGGUGGUAUAUAAAUCAUAUCUAAAAAAGUCUGUGAUAAAUACACACACACACACACAUAUAUAUGUACAUGUGAUGAAAGUGUGUAAAAAAGGCGAUCUAAAUGCACCUGGCCCCACGGGGCUAAAGCCCCAGUUUUAUUAAAUGCCACUCCCAGGUGGCCGUGCUGCAUUCAGCACCAUGAUGUUAACAAACACCACAGUAAAGUCUUCUGAUUCUAUACAACCUGCUGAGGUCCACGGGAGGAGUCAAGAGGGGAAGAGGGUUUGGACCGAAAGCCGUAGCAGGGGGAGUGACCGUAUAGGCUUCUAGCGCUGCUGGACACCUGGGAAGCCCUGUUUGGCUGCGGGUGCACGCUGGUUAGGGAGGGUAGCUGGGAUGGCCUGGAUGGCUUGCAGGGGCUGCAUGUUCUCUGGGCAGAAAAGAGGCAUCUUGGUGGAGAGGCACCGUCCGUCCCUCAGGACCGUCUGUCUUUAACAUGCUCCAUACCCACCAGAGACACUUUGUGAGGUGUGCCUGUCCCUGGCACACACACCCUCCUGGGACACUUGUGGGCUAUUGUUCCUGAAGGCUGGCAGCUGAAGUCAUUCCCUGUACACCUUGACCUCCUGUUCUGUCUGGCAAAACCCAACAAUGGCACCAUGACAACAGUGCAAUCGUUGGCCACUUGGGGUGGAGGAGAGGACACCCUGCCAUCUCCUGCUGGAGGAGGAAUGAUUAUCCUCAUUACUCUUGUUGGGAUCCA